AGCCCUGCAAGAGGUCACUGCACCAGCCUGGUAAGCCGUUAUUAAUCCUUACAGAGUCAUCCAUUAGCCUAUCCAAUUUUUAUGACCCUCUUCUUUAUUAGAUGAGCUAUCAGCUGUCCAUACAUGGCAGAAUUAUGGACUUCUUCAUCUGGGCUGCAACACUCUCCGUUUUCCCAGAAGAUGCAGGCAUGCUGGACCAGAAACGAGUCUUACUCCUGACUGAGAAAGCUGAAGCAAGAUGACCUGAGGGAGAAGCGAUGGUCUCCAAAAGCACUAACAUGACGAUGGACACUUCCUCUGCAGCUCCAGCUAAUCAUUGUUGCCAAUUCGUUUACACUGGUCCAAAAUGACUCCCUGAAUGACCGCCUUUGCAUAUUAAACAGACAAACAGACAACAGGGACACACUGUUGGAGGACAAGAGAGCAGCUAAACGCCAGCAGUGUUGAGAUAGUCUGGGGACCAGGAGGCUCAUAAUACUGUAUGUACAAACUGAGAUCUACUGCUUGAUUGAUAGCAUAUUAAACAGAAUUGUGUUACUGCCUA